GCAAACUUGGUCAUUUAGAGGAAGUAAAAGUCGUAACAAGGUUUCCGUAGGUGAACCUGCGGAAGGAUCAUUAUUGAAUAAACUUGAUGUGGUUGUAGCUGGCUCUUUUGGAGUAUGUGCUCGCCCGUCACCUUUAUAUCUCCACCUGUGCACUACUUGUAGAUUUGGAUGUGACUUUCCGAGGCGCACUCGGUUUAGAGGGAAAAUCUCAUUUGUGGUUUUUUCCUUGCAUGUCCAAGUCUAUGUUUUUCAUAUACACCAAAGCAUGUAACAGAAUGUAUUCAAUGGGCUUUUUUGUGCCUAUAAACUCUAUACAACUUUCAGCAACGGAUCUCUUGGCUCUCGCAUCGAUGAAGAACGCAGC
rnacentral:misc_RNA from 1 species